rnacentral:rRNA from 1 species
AUUGAACGCUGGCGGCAGGCUUAACACAUGCAAGUCGAGCGGAGACUUCGGUCUUAGCGGCGAACGGGUGAGGAAUGCCUGGGAAUCUGCCUGUUAGUGGGGGAUAACGAAUCGAAAGGUUCGCUAAUACCGCAUACGUCCUACGGGAGAAAGCAGGGGACCUUCGGGCCUUGCGCUAACAGAUGAGCCCAGGUCGGAUUAGCUAGUAGGUGGGGUAAAGGCUCACCUAGGCGACGAUCCGUAGCUGGUCUGAGAGGAUGAUCAGCCACACUGGAACUGAGACACGGUCCAGACUCCUACGGAGGCAGCAGUGGGGAAUAUUGGACAAUGGGCGAAAGCCUGAUCCAGCCAUGCCGCGUGUGUGAAGAAGGCCUGUGUAG